CGAGGAAUCUUGCGCAAUGGGCGAAAGCCUGACGCAGCAACGCCGCGUGGGUGAUGAAGGCCUUCGGGUUGUAAAUCCCUUUUGCCGGGGGAGAACUUUGACGGUACCCGGCGAAUAAGCCACGGCUAACUACGUGCCAGCAGCCGCGGUAAGACGUAGGUGGCGAGCGUUAUCCGGAUUUACUGGGCGUAAAGCGUACGUAGGCGGCGCCGAAAGUCUGCCGUGAAAUCUCCCGGCUCAACCGGGAGCGGUCGGUGGAAACUUCGAUGCUCGAGGGGCGUAGAGGCAAGCGGAAUUCCCGGAGUAGUGGUGGAAUGCGUAGAUACCGGGAGGAACACCAGUGGCGCAAGCGGCUUGCUAGGCGCAUCCUGACGCUGAGGUACGAAAGCGUGGGUAGCGAACCGG
rnacentral:rRNA from 2 species